rnacentral:rRNA from 1 species
UACGUAGGUGGCAAGCGUUGUCCGGAUUUAUUGGGUUUAAAGGGUGCGUAGGCGGCGCUUUAAGUCAGUGCUGAAAUACUCUAGCUUAACUAGAGGGGUGGCAUUGAUACUGAAGUGCUUGAGUGGAGUCGAGGUAGGCGGAAUUGACGGUGUAGCGGUGAAAUGCUUAGAUAUCGUCAAGAACACCGAUAGUGUAGACAGCUUACUAGGCUUCAACUGACGCUGAGGCACGAAAGUGUGGGGAUCAAACAGG